rnacentral:rRNA from 1 species
UCGGGGGUCGAACUCGGUGCCGCAGCUAACGCAUUAAGUACUCCGCCUGGGGAGUACGGUCGCAAGACUGAAACUCAAAGGAAUUGACGGGGACCCGCACAAGCAGCGGAGCAUGUGGUUUAAUUCGAAGCAACGCGAAGAACCUUACCAAAUCUUGACAUCCUUUUGACCAUCAUUUAAUCAUGAUCUUACCUUCGGGUACAGAAGUGACAGGUGGUGCAUGGUUGUCGUCAGCUCGUGUCGUGAGAUGUUGGGUUAAGUCCCGCAACGAGCGCAACCCUUGUCUUUAGUUGCCAUCAGGUAAUGCUGGGCCCUCUAGAGAGACUGCCGGUGACAAACCGGAGGAAGGUGGGGAUGACGUCAAAUCAUCAUGCCCCUUAUGAUUUGGGCUACACACGUGCUACAAUGGUCGGUACAACGGGCAGCGAAAGGGUAACCUGGAGCGAAUCCUAAAAAGCCGAUCCCAGUUCGGAUUGUGGGCUGCAACUCGCCCACAUGAAGUUGGAGUUGCUAGUAAUCGUGAAUCAGAAUGUCGCGGUGAAUGCGUUCCCGGGUCUUGUACACACCGCCCGUCACACCAUGGAAGUUGGGGGCGCCCGAAGCCAGUGAUCCAACCCGUAAGGGAGGAAGCUGACGAAGGUGAAAUCAAUGACUAGGGUGAAGUCGUAACAAGGUAGCCG